CAGACCUCUGUGUUUGAAAAAUUUCAAUCUGGUUUUAGAUCACUUCACAGUACUGAGUCUGCACUGUUAAGAGUACAUAAUGAUAUUGCCUUGUCUGUAAAUGCCGGGAAUCCAACUGUUUUAGU